CCUGCCUUUCAGUCGCCAAGGCCUUUGUCCCAUGAGCAGAUCCAGUGAGGAAAGCCGCUGAGGCCGAGAAAGCCAAUGCAGGGAUGCUGUCGCCCUUCGCGGGUCAUGCCUGGGUUGGGGGCCAGAGUAAGCCACGCUCCCCUACGCAGCCCAGAAUUGGCAAUGUUGAACAUACCUAUCAGUAGCUGGAGAAAGAAGGUGAAGAACGAGAUAGCAACAUCUGUAGAAAAUACAAAAUUAUUAAAUUUUGUCAAGACUAGAGAAGAUUGUGAAGAAUGUCAGCGUCAUCUAACACAGCACUUGCAGAGCUUCAGUAUCCAGGAAAUAGUCUUCUGGCAGCAGCUGGAGAGUGAUGCCAGUUGAGUGUCCUUAAAAAGUAUGUUUGGUGCUAGAUAAAAUGUGGAAUGUUUUAAAAAUUGCUAAAUUGGAC